CCAGACUCCUACGGGAGGCAGCAGUGGGGAAUAUUGCACAAUGGGGGAAACCCUGAUGCAGCAACGCCGCGUGAGUGAAGAAGUCAUUCGUGAUGUAAAGCUCUAUCAGCAGGGAAGAAAAUGACGGUACCUGAGUAAGAAGCCCCGGCUAACUACGUGCCAGCAGCCGCGGUAAUACGUAGGGAGCGAGCGUUAUCCGGAUUUAUUGGGUGUAAAGGGUGCGUAGACGGGAAGUUAAGUUAGUUGUGAAAUCCCAAGGCUCAACUUUGGAACUGCAACUAAAACUAAUUUUCUUGAGUACUGGAGAGGAAAGUGGAAUUCCUAGUGUAGCGGUGAAAUGCGUAGAUAUUAGGAGGAACACCAGUGGCGAAGGCGACUUUCUGGACAGAAACUGACGUUGAGGCACGAAAGUGUGGGGAGCAAACAGGAUUAGAUACCCCCGUAAU
rnacentral:rRNA from 1 species